UCUUAUGGAUGAGCAAAGAAGUUGGUUUCUUGAAAUGGAAUCUACUCCUGGUGAACAUGCUGUGAA
rnacentral:pre_miRNA from 1 species